UUUUAUCCUGGGCGCGUCUUUUAUUCAAUCUUACCAUAUACAACAUCAAUCAACGACGAAACACAUAUCACAGUUCAAAACUUUCUCCUAAGCCGGGCGGCGAGCCCUGGUUCUCCGAGAUUUCAAGUCUCGCCAGCGAUCUUUCUCCUGGGCGGUGCUGCGAGCACUGAUUCUCCGCAACUCCAGUCUCGCCGGCGGUCCACCGGAGAAGGAGGCACAGUGAACAUUUCUGCUCUGGACGGGUUUCCCAACCAUACACACCAGGGUAUCAAGACCGUGGCCUACCUGCUCGAGGCAUGCAUGCAAUCCUGCUGUUGUUUGUGUGCACUUCUUUCUUAAUUUGCUUAGAAGCUUGGACGGAUACACUGACAACUUUAUGUGCUUAGGAGUUUGCAGGAAAAGUAGAUUUAAUUUCAUUACACUCUACGCCAAGAGACACUCUAAUUCUGCUGCCAUACACAUUACUGCGUGCAUUUCUUCUCCCAAGAAUUAUCACUUUUUUUCUCUUUAGCUGGUUGUUUGUUACCAUGACGUCGAGUCGGCGGCAAAGUAAGACUCAGCACGAAGGCCAGUCUCAAGUGACCACCUUAUUAAACUCUCUUUGACUUCUCAUAUAUACAAUCUCUGGUUAUUUCAGAAGGUGAGCAAAUAAUUAUUUGUAUAUAGUUCGGUACCAAUGCAUUACUAACUAGAAUAUGUUAAUAUACUCAUUCAGAUGUUACUUAAGUUGUCACUCUGGUACAUAUAUUAAUAUGUUUGUA